GUGUCAGCAGCCGCGGUAAUACAGAGGGUGCGAGCGUUGUCCGGAAUCACUGGGCGUAAAGGGCGCGUAGGCGGUGACUUAAGCGUGCGGUGAAAGCUCGGGGCUCAACCCCGAGUCGGCCGUGCGAACUGGGUCACUUGAGCGUAUCAGAGGCAGGCGGAAUUCCGGGUGUAGCGGUGGAAUGCGUAGAGAUCCGGAAGAACACCGGUGGCGAAGGCGGCCUGCUGGGAUACUUGCUGACGCUGAGGCGCGACAGCGUGGGGAGCAAACAGGAUUAGAUACCCUGGUAGUCC
rnacentral:rRNA from 1 species